UUUGUCUUCAUCAAAUCCUUCAGUUUGAAAAGUUUCUCAUGGAAAUGAUUAAUUGUAGUCUGCUUUUCAUCUUUCUCCAAAUAUGCUUGCUUUGAUAAACCCUGUCAUGGCAAUAGCUUAGGUCAUGCAGUAUUGGUCCAUACUUCCACCAAAUGUGAAGCAUCAAGCAAUGCCUGAAACAAGACAAAUAACUUAUACAUGCUUAUGCAGAAGAAAUAUCUGUACAGUAAAUGGCUUAAUUUCUGAUCCAAAAAAGAAAAAACAAUCAGAAACUCAGAAGUGCAAACAAUACCCAUUAUUGAGCCACCACUAUUUAUGAGUCAUUUGAAUGUCCAGAAAGCUCCAUGUAACCGUUUAAGUGUAUCAACCCAAAAGCCAAGUGGUACAAUAACAGAUGAUUUACCAGAAUUGUCGCCUGACAGAAGACAUAUAUGGCUUUCUACUUUAAGUUUGCAGGCUAAUAAAAAUUAGGAAUAAAUUAUACUUACACCUAAUAGUAUAAAAAACCUACAUUUACCCUACUUAAGGUUUAUUUUUACCCAAUAUUUUAACCCAUAACUUAACAGAAUGUUAAUUAAACUCUUAACUUUAAAUGGAACCAAAAUAUCACAUCGGAAAAAAUUUCGAACAGGACCAAAACAAUCUGACGUAACAGUCACCCAAGGAUAUAAGAAAAUAUAUGCAUCCUCCUCCCCACUUAAGAGCAAUUUGACUAUUCGCGUGAGGUAAAUGGUUUCACUAACACCGUUAAUUUAAUUGGGUGUAAGUAUAGGUCUUACAAACUAUUAGGUGUAAGUGUAAUAAACGUAAACCUCGGGAGGGGUUUGUAAUUUAGUCUAAAAAUUAAAUACUAUACCUCUUUAAUGCUUCUGCGGAAAGCUAUUGUGUUCACUCAUUUAGAGGAAUAAGUUACCAAGAGCUACAAACAACUUCACGUAACCAUAGGCAUGGUGCAUUAGCAAUCACCUAGUAAAUUCCAAUGUCAUGAUAUCAUGGUAAAAGGAAAAACCUUAAUUCAUGUCCGUGGAGUGACCAGGGAAAACAUACAGCUUCAAAAUUUAGACAUAUUUGACGACAAAAGAGCGUAAACAACCUCAAAUAAACCGAGCAUACCAAAUGGGAAUUGAACCAAUGCGCACGAACAUCCAUUAAAAAGAUAAUGUAGUUGGGCUAUCAAGCCGCAGCAUCAAAUGAAAAUGAGUUGGGAAACAAUAACCAAAAAAAGAGAGAAGGGGAUAGAGGGGGGAAAGGGGUGAGGACUGCCUUGCUAUCUCCAAGCUUUGAGGGGAGGAAAGCCCUUUUCUUCGGCGAGGGAGAGGGCCAGGUCGUGGACGAAAAAGGCGUGGGCCGCGUCGUAGGAGGCGUGGGCCGCGUCGUAGGAGACGUCGCGCAAUCCCAUGGUCGAAACCACCAGCCUCUCCGCCUUCCUCACCACCUCCGGCGUCGACGCCUCCAUCUCCUUUCCUCUCUGUCUCUCUCUCCGCCAUCGCAUGGGAGAUAAGCCGCGCUGGGAGACAAGGAGGGCUCCCAGGAGACAGAAGACGAGAAGUGAAUAUUUUUCAGAUUG
rnacentral:lncRNA from 1 species